rnacentral:rRNA from 1 species
CUGCCCUAUAGACUGCGAUACCACUUGGAACCACGUGCUAAUACCGAAUCUCAUCCUGAAUAGCAUGAUUGAAGUCAUAAACGCGGCUCAAGCUAUGACUUUACGAUGAGCCCGCUGCACAUAACCGAGGUGCUGGGGCAAGGGCCUACCAAAGCGAUGAUGCGUAGCCAAGAUGCAAGACUGAUCGGACACAUUGAGACUGAGACACGGCCCAGACUCCUACGGGAUGCUGCUACAGGGAAUCUUCCACAAUGGACGCAAGUCUGAUGGACCAACGCCGCGUGACUGAACAACGUGUUCGGAUAGUAAAGCUCUGUUGUUGGUGAAUAAGGAUAGAGGCAAUAACUGGUCUUUAUUUGACGGUAUUCAACCACAAAGUCACGGCUAACUACGUGCCAUCAGCCGCGGCAAUACGUAGGUGGCAUGCGUUGGCCGGAUUCAUUGGGCGUAUAGCGAGCGCAGGCGGAAUGAUCAGUCUGAUGU